rnacentral:lncRNA from 1 species
UCCUGGACUAAAUCAUCAAAUUUAUCCAUUCUUGUGGAUGUUAUUUUAAGGGUGUCUUUUUCUGCUCCAAAACAUAACAAGCAUUAGGGCCUAGUGUUGUUGUUCAACAAAAUUUAUGGUGUAAGUUAUUUGACAAUAAUAGUUUAGGCAAUCAAAACCAUGUGAAACAUCAUGUGCCAUUGUCUCUCACCAGUAGCCACCAAUUUUUCUUAACCACUAAACAUUUGGAUAUGGAAAUUGUCAUAAGCUAAUUAUAUAUAAUCAGACCCAAAUCUCUUAACCACUAAGCAUUUGGAUAUGGAAAUUGUCAUAAACUAAUUAUAUAUAAUCAGACCCAAACAUUUCAGCAAAACACAAGUAUCCUGACAUUCAGAAAGCCAUUUUUGUGCAACUACUUGUUCUUUAUUUCCUUCAUCAUUUA